CAGGCUUACACAUGCAAGUCGAGGGGUAACAGAGAAAAGCUUGCUUUUUUGCUGACGACCGGCGCACGGGUGCGUAACGCGUAUGCAAUCUACCUUUUGCUAAGGGAUAGCCCAGAGAAAUUUGGAUUAAUACCUUAUAGUAUGAUGACUUGGCAUCAAGAUAUCAUUAAAGGUUACGGCAAAAGAUGUGCAUGCGUUCUAUUAGCUAGUUGGUAUGGUAACGGCAUACCAAGGCAACGAUAGAUAGGGGUCCUGAGAGGGAGAUCCCCCACACUGGUACUGAGACACGGACCAGACUCCUACGGGAGGCAGCAGUGAGGAAUAUUGGACAAUGGAGGCAACUCUGAUCCAGCCAUGCCGCGUGCAGGAAGACUCCCCUAUGGGUUGUAAACUGCUUUUAUACAGGAAGAAACACCUCUACGUGUAGAGAUUUGACGGCACUGUAAGAAUAAGGAUCGGCUGACUCCGUGCCAGCAGCCGCGGUAAUACGGAGGAUCCAAGCGUUAUCC
rnacentral:rRNA from 1 species